rnacentral:sRNA from 1 species
UUGCACACGCGUCCUCAUCGUCCUCAUCCGUGUGCCUUUUCGUUGGAUUUUCUUACUGCUAUACACAUGUUCUUCAUCCCAAAACGGAGGAAAGAUGGAAAAUCAAGGCUCUUCCAUUUGCUUCCACAAAUUUCUUGAUCUCUCUCGAGCUCCGGAUCCUAGCCUCCGCAUGAAGGAAAUCGUCAAUCUUGCUGAAACCUUGGUUUCCUGAUUUCAUCAGUUUUUCGGUUCGAUCAGGAUCACUUUUUUACCCACGAAAUCUAGCAUCUUCUGCAUUGAAAAGAGAUUGAGGGUUUUGGUUUAGUCAGACGGAGGGGGAGAUAAAGAGAGAAGUGGAUUAUGUGCAUGAAUGGGGUGGUACUCGGAGAAUUUUGUCAAGGGCCAAUGGGACAAGGAGGAUUGCAUUUCAGAUUGGCAGAAAUACAAUGCCUCCCAUCUGUGUAUAAUGUCAUCAAAUUCUAGAUGAGGUGCAUCCAGACAUCAGUUUGGUAAAGCAGUUAAAGAAGGGUGCGAGGAAACUUUAUAAAAGAUUAAGGAAGGUUCUGAUGAAUUCUCAUUUAGAGUUGGUGACAACCAAUUGACUCACCACCGACUUUAGAUCAAGAUUCAAGUAUGCCUUAAAUUUAAAGAAUGCAUUAAGAUUCAGCUCUCCGAUCCGAAGGACCUUAAGAUUGAAGGCUGAAUUAUUCAACGUGCAGGCAUCGAUUUCUAGUAAAACCUAAGACCCAAAAGAGAGAGAAGUCAACCCAUUGACGAGGACAAUUUUCAAGCAAG